rnacentral:rRNA from 1 species
GUCCACGCCGUAAACGAUGAGAACUAGAUGUUGGGAGGGUUUGCCUCUCGGUGUCGCAGCUAACGCGUUAAGUUCUCCGCCUGGGGAGUACGCCGGCAACGGUAAAACUCAAAGGAAUUGACGGGGACCCGCACAAGCGGUGGAGCAUGUGGUUUAAUUCGAUGCAACGCGAAGAACCUUACCUGCCCUUGACAUCCUCGGAACUUGUCAGAGAUGACUUGGUGCCUUCGGGAACCGAGUGACAGGUGCUGCAUGGCU